CGUUACCAGGGGAAAACUCAGUCUUACUCCAUCCCAGCCCAUCCUGCUCUUGGCCCACUCUUUAAAGAAAACCGGUGAAAACACUGAGGCACCAAGAGACCUUUAAGGCAUUGACUCAAGGCCACCACAGCUGGAAUCCACACCAGGCUUCUCUAAGGGUGUGCCUCUCUCAGUGGGAAACUGGAUGUAGAAUCAAAUUUUGCUGUUGCUGCCUUCCCAAUCAUUGAAGUGGCUACUAGAAAACAACAUUACGGAAGUGGCUCAGAUUGUAUUUCUAUCGGACAGCGCUGAUGCAUGAGGUUCUUCCAGGCACCUGCCUCCCUUCUCCUUCAGGAGAAGCUGUGGUGCGGGCUGGGCGGUC